rnacentral:rRNA from 1 species
GAACGCUAGCGACAGGCCUAACACAUGCAAGUCGAGGGGCGAGCACAAGGAGCAAUCUGAGGUGGCGACCGGCGCACGGUGAGUAACACGUAUGCAACCUGCCUGUAAGCGGGGAAUAACCCGUUGAAAGACGGACUAAUACCGCAUAAUACUAAAUUACUGCAUGGUAAUUUAUUUAAACAUUUAUGGCUUACAGAUGGGCAUGCGCAUGAUUAGCUAGUUGGAGAGGUAACGGCUCCCCAAGGCAACGAUCAUUAGGGGUUCUGAGAGGAAGGUCCCCCACACUGGUACUGAGACACGGACCAGACUCCUACGGGAGGCAGCAGUGAGGAAUAUUGGUCAAUGGACGAGAGUCUGAACCAGCCAAGUCGCGUGCAGGAAGAAUGUCCUAUGGAUUGUAAACUGCUUUUGCAGGGGAAUAAAGUGCAUCACGUGUGAUGUUUUGUAUGUACUCUGCGAAUAAGGAUCGGCUAACUCCGUGCCAGCAGCAGC